UACGUAGGCAGCGAGCGUUUGUUCGGAGUUACUGGGCGUAAAGGGCGCGUAGGCGGCCUGUUAAGUCCGAACGUGAAAUCCCCGGGCUCAACCCGGGAACUGCGUCCGAUCUGGCAGGCUUGGAAUCCGGGAGAGGGAUGCGGAAUUCCAGGUGUAGCGGUGGAAUGCGUAGAGAUCCGGAAGAACACCGGUGGCGAAGGCGGCCUGCUGGGCAGUUGGCUGG
rnacentral:rRNA from 1 species